rnacentral:rRNA from 1 species
UAGUCCGGAUUUACUGGGUGUAAAGGGUGCGUAGGCGGCUUUGCAAGUCAGAUGUGAAAUCUAUGGGCUCAACCCAUAAACUGCAUUUGAAACUGUAGAGCUUGAGUGAAGUAGAGGCAGGCGGAAUUCCCCGUGUAGCGGUGAAAUGCGUAGAGAUGGGGAGGAACACCAGUGGCGAAGGCGGCCUGCUGGGCUUUAACUGACGCUGAGGCACGAAAGCGUGGGUAGCAAACAGGAUUAGAUACCCUGGUAGUCCACGCUGUAAACGAUGAUUACUAGGUGUGGGGGGUCUGACCCCGCCGUGCCGGAGUUAACACAAUAAGUAUCCACCUGGGGAGUACGGCCGCAAGGUUGAAACUCAGAGGAAUUGACGGGGGCCCGCACUAGCAGUGGAGUAUGUGGU